rnacentral:tRNA from 2 species
GGACCGGUAGCUCAGUCGGUCAGAGCGGGGGACUCAUAAUCCCUUGGUCGUGGGUUCAAGUCCCGCCCGGUCCACCA